UGCAUAGGUGUAUUCCAUUUGUGAAAACUGAGCCAACUGUACAUUUAUGAGGGAAGCUUUUCUUUCUGCAUGUACAUUUUACUCCAAUAAAAAGGCCUCAAGAAUGCUCAGGGGAGGCAGUCGACCAGUUAUUCAACACCUACUGUGCACCUGCUAGAUUCUAGACACGGCCCUGGCACUGGGAUGUGGCAGCAGGCAACACAAACACAAAGCCGGCCCUUCUCGAACAUGAAGUUCUGGGGAGAAGAGGGACACAGCCACCACACGAGCAUUCAGCUGAAAUCAUGCUGCCUGGGAACAAUAAGGAGUCACAACCUAUUUCCAUGAUGAAAAGAACAAGGAGGGAAAAGGACCGAGAUUCAAGCAUUGAUCCUGUCACUACUCGUGUGAGAAGAAGCAGCUUGCCUGACCAUCAAUUUCCAG